rnacentral:rRNA from 1 species
AUUGAACGCUGGCGGCAGGCUUAACACAUGCAAGUCGAGCGGGGAGAUGUAGCUUGCUACAUUUCCUAGCGGCGGACGGGUGAGUAAUGCUUAGGAAUCUGCCUAUUAGUGGGGGACAACGUUUCGAAAGGAACGCUAAUACCGCAUACGCCCUACGGGGGAAAGCAGGGGAUCUUCGGACCUUGCGCUAAUAGAUGAGCCUAAGUCAGAUUAGCUAGUUGGUGGGGUAAAGGCCUACCAAGGCGACGAUCUGUAGCGGGUCUGAGAGGAUGAUCCGCCACACUGGGACUGAGACACGGCCCAGACUCCUACGGGAGGCAGCAGUGGGGAAUAUUGGACAAUGGGGGGAACCCUGAUCCAGCCAUGCCGCGUGUGUGAAGAAGGCCUUUUGGUUGUAAAGCACUUUAAGCGAGGAGGAGGCUCUUCUAGUUAAUACCUAGGAUGAGUGGACGUUACUCGCAGAAUAAGCACCGGCUAACUCUGUGCCAGCAGCCGCAGUAACAC